UACGUAGGGUGCGAGCGUUAAUCGGAAUUACUGGGCGUAAAGCGUGCGCAGGCGGUUUUGUAAGUCAGAUGUGAAAUCCCCGGGCUUAACCUGGGAACUGCAUUUGUGACUGCAAGGCUAGAGUACGGCAGAGGGGGGUAGAAUUCCACGUGUAGCAGUGAAAUGCGUAGAUAUGUGGAGGAAUACCGAUGGCGAAGGCAGCCCCCUGGGUCGAUACUGACGCUCAUGCACGAAAGCGUGGGGAGCAAACAGG
rnacentral:rRNA from 1 species